AAUAGAUACCCGGGUAGUCCACGCCGUAAACGAUGAGUGCUAAGUGUUGGGGGGUUUCCGCCCCUCAGUGCUGCAGCUAACGCAUUAAGCACUCCGCCUGGGGAGUACGGUCGCAAGACUGAAACUCAAAGGAAUUGACGGGGGCCCGCACAAGCGGUGGAGCAUGUGGUUUAAUUCGAGGCAACGCGAAGAACCUUACCAGGUCUUGACAUCCCGGUGACCACUAUGGAGACAUAGUUUCCCCUUCGGGGGCAACGGUGACAGGUGGUGCAUGGUUGUCGUCAGCUCGUGUCGUGAGAUGUUGGGUUAAGUCCCGCAACGAGCGCAACCCUUAUUCUUAGUUGCCAUCAUUCAGUUGGGCACUCUAAGGAGACUGCCGGUGAUAAACCGGAGGAAGGUGGGGAUGACGUCAAAUCAUCAUGCCCCUUAUGACCUGGGCUACACACGUGCUACAAUGGACGGUACAAACGGUUGCCAACCCGCGAGGGGGAGCUAAUCCGAUAAAACCGUUCUCAGUUCGGAUUGUAGGCUGCAACUCGCCUACA
rnacentral:rRNA from 1 species